rnacentral:rRNA from 1 species
GGCUAGCACAGGUGCUGCAUGGCUGUCGUCAGCUCGUGUCGUGAGAUGUUCGGUUAAGUCCGCUAACGAGCGCAACCCUUGCUGUGUGUUACAUGUAUCACACGGGACUGCCGGUCUUAAACCGGAGGAAGGUGGGGAUGACGUCAAGUCAGCAUGGCCUUUAUGUCCUGGGCUACACACACGCUACAAUGGCCGGUACAAUAGGUUGCGAAGCCGCGAGGCGGAGCCAAUCCUCAAAGCCGGCCUCAGUUCAGAUUGCAGGCUGCAACCCGCCUGCAUGAAGAUGGAGUUGCUAGUAACCGCAGGUCAGCUAUACUGCGGUGAAUACGUUCCCGGGGCUU